rnacentral:tRNA from 1 species
UAGCUCAGUUGGUUAGAGCACUGUGUUGAUAACGCAGGGGUCCCAGGUUCGAAUCCUG